UUGUUCUGUUAUGCUGUCCCGUUGCCUGGUUGGGGCCUGCAGUCCAGGACUGCUCGCCGUGCAAGUGCUAUAAACCCAACUCAAACUAGUUAAACAAAAAGGUAAAUCACUGGUUCACAAUAACGGGGAGGCCUAGAGGGGAUUUUGGUUUCAGGGGCAAACUAGACCGAGUCUCAAAAGAUACUGUCAGUGCACAUUUCUCUCUGUCUCUGUCUCUCUGUCUCUGUCUCUCUCAGUUCCUGCUCUGCUUCCCUCGUUAUGUUGCCCUUACUCAGUCCUACUAUUGAGAGCCUUCCUCUCUGUGACGGGGAACAGAUCGCCUCAGACCGCUGCAUAUUCUCUUAGCGUAAUGACCCCUGUGAUGAAAUCCUCUGUCCCAGAAGGCAUGUAUCAAUCCCAGGGAAAAUCUGAAUUGGUUUUGCUGGAGUCUUCUGCUUACCUGCGGACCAGUCACUUCCCAGGGGUUCGAGGUGAUAUAGGCCCAACAUAGGUGAUGCACCUUUUCCAGAGGGAGAGGUACGCCCUUAUUAGAAGAAGGGACAGUACAAGGUAGAACAGAUCAGUAGUUGUCACUGUUGUCCACAGUAACUUGUCAGAGGCUGGCAAGAGUCAGUGCUGGUAAUCUUGAAAUAAAGGAAUGACAGAUGUAAGGGGUUUGUUUUUACUACUCUUUUCCUUGCCAGUUUCAACCUUUUAUAAAAUCAUUUUGUGUUUUGGUUGCCAUCGUAUGGGUCCGUGGCAAUAAUUUAAUAAUGGACAUUUGGCACGUGAUACUGUGAGCAUGAUACACGUUGCAAAGGUUUAAAUCUGCAGUUUUUACGUGUUUUCUGCACGAGGAAUUAAAAUAGAGGAAGAAAAUUUGAGAUCUGCAGACCGGAUUCAUCCAUAAACAUGUUUUUGCUGGAUCUUCCCAUGUGGUUUUUAAAAAGUUUAGCAUAGGGGCGCCUCGGUGGUUCAGUUGGUUGGGCAUCUGACUUGGGCUUGGGUCAUGAUCUCAUGGUUUGUGAAUUCAGGCCCCGCCUUGGGCUCUGUGCUGACAGCUCGGAGCCUGGAGCCUGCUUCGGAUUCUGUGUUUCCCUCUCUCUCUGCCUGCCUCUGUCUAUCUGUCUGUCUGUCUGUCUGUC